CAAAGACUGAAUAUGUUUCCUGUGGAAUAAAAUAAAUGCAUCUGCUGAGGGACAGUCAGUGAGUGUGUCUGUGUCCAACUCUUCCUCACAUGUUAGUUAAUGACAGACAGUCAGUGAGUGUGUCUGUGUCCAACUCUUCCUCACAGGUUAGUUAAUGAUGUUACUGAGUCAAUGUGAGCAGAUUGUGUCUGUAGACUGAAGAGAAUCAGAGUCUCACUGAUGGUGGAAAUAAAGGUUUUACUUCCUUAAAACA